GCCAGGGUGGUGUAGUGGUUUGAUCAUUAGACUACGACUCUGGAGAUCUGGGUUCAAUCCCUGUUUGGCC